ACGGUAGUUCCGAUUUAUCGGAAUGAGAGUGGCGCACGGGUGCGUAACGCGUAUGCAACCUACCCUAUACAGGGGGAUAGCCCGGAGAAAUCUGGAUUAAUACCCCAUGGUACCAAGUUGAGGCAUUUUGAUUUGGUUAAAGAUUCAUCGGUAUAGGAUGGGCAUGCGUCUGAUUAGCUAGUUGGCGGUGUAACGGACCACCAAGGCGACGAUCAGUAGGGGUUCUGAGAGGAAGGUCCCCCACACUGGCACUGAGAUACGGGCCAGACUCCUACGGGAGGCAGCAGUAGGGAAUAUUGGGCAAUGGACGAGAGUCUGACCCAGCCAUGCCGCGUGCAGGAAGACGGCGUUCUGCGUUGUAAACUGCUUUUAUCUGGGAAGAAAAGGCCCAUGCGUGGGACAUUGCCGGUACCAGAUGAAUAAGCACCGGCUAACUCCGUGCCAGCAGCCGCGGUAAUACGGAGGGUGCAAGCGUUGUCCGGAUUUAUUGGGUUUAAAGGGUGCGUAGGCGGCUAUUUAAGUCAGUGGUGAAAGACUCCGGCUCAACCGGGGCAGUGCCAUUGAUACUGGAUAGCUUGAGUAUUGGAGGGGUACAUGGAAUUGAUGGUGUAGCGGUGAAAUGCAUAGAUACCAUCAGGAACACCGAUAGCGAAGGCAUUGUACUGGCCAAUAACUGACGCUGAUGCACGAAAGCAUGGGGAGCGAACAGGAUUAGAUACCCUGGUAGUCCAUGCCGUAAACGAUGAUUACUCGCUGUUAUGUCUUUAUGAUGUAGCGGCCAAGCGAAAGCGUUAAGUAAU
rnacentral:rRNA from 1 species